rnacentral:hammerhead_ribozyme from 1 species
AGCCGAAACGCUCCGUUUGGAGCGUCCUGUCGGGAAUGACCUCCCGGUACUGAUGAGGCAGGUCGAA